UACGUAGGGCGCAAGCGUUAAUCGGAAUUACUGGGCGUAAAGCGUGCGCAGGCGGUUUUGUAAGACAGGUGUGAAAUCCCCGGGCUUAACCUGGGAACUGCAUUUGUGACUGCAAGGCUGGAGUGCGGCAGAGGGGGAUGGAAUUCCGCGUGUAGCAGUGAAAUGCGUAGAUAUGCGGAGGAACACCGAUGGCGAAGGCAAUCCCCUGGGCCUGCACUGACGCUCAUGCACGAAAGCGUGGGAGC
rnacentral:rRNA from 1 species